AGAAAGGUAGGUUAAAAAAACCACUGAGCUGUGGAUUCAGAAAUGUAUCUAAUACUCUUUUUC
rnacentral:tRNA from 1 species